AUUGAACGCUGGCGGCAGGCUUAACACAUGCAAGUCGAGCGGAGAUGAGGUGCUUGCACCUUAUCUUAGCGGCGGACGGGUGAGUAAUGCUUAGGAAUCUGCCUAUUAGUGGGGGACAACAUUCCGAAAGGAAUGCUAAUACCGCAUACGCCCUACGGGGGAAAGCAGGGGAUCUUCGGACAUUGCGCUAAUAGAUGAGCCUAAGUCGGAUUAGCUAGUUGGUGGGGUAAAGGCCUACCAAGGCGACGAUCUGUAGCGGGUCUGAGAGGAUGAUCCGCCACACUGGGACUGAGACACGGCCCAGACUCCUACGGGAGGCAGCAGUGGGGAAUAUUGGACAAUGGGCGGAAGCCUGAUCCAGCCAUGCCGCGUGUGUGAAGAAGGCCUUUUGGUUGUAAAGCACUUUAAGCGAGGAGGAGGCUACCUGGAUUAAUACUCUAGGAUAGUGGACGUUACUCGCAGAAUAAGCACCGGCUAACUCUGUGCCAGCAUCCGCCGUAAGAC
rnacentral:rRNA from 1 species